UGGGGAAUAUUGCACAAUGGGCGCAAGCCUGAUGCAGCCAUGCCGCGUGUGUGAAGAAGGCCUUCGGGUUGUAAAGCACUUUCAGCAAGGAGGAAAGGGUGUAAGUUAAUACCUUACAUCUGUGACGUUACUUGCAGAAGAAGCACCGGCUAACUCCGUGCCAGCAGCCGCGGUAAUACGGAGGGUGCGAGCGUUAAUCGGAAUUACUGGGCGUAAAGCGUACGCAGGCGGUUUGUUAAGCGAGAUGUGAAAGCCCCGGGCUUAACCUGGGAACUGCAUUUCGAACUGGCAGGCUAGAGUGUGAUAGAGGGUGGUAGAAUUUCAGGUGUAGCGGUGAAAUGCGUAGAGAUCUGAAGGAAUACCGAUGGCGAAGGCAGCCACCUGGGUCAACACUGACGCUCAUGUACGAAAGCGUGGGGAGCAAACAGG
rnacentral:rRNA from 1 species